GNUNNUGUAGUUAAAUUUAAUAACGACGGCUUUUCAGGCCGUAGAUCCUGGGUAAGUACCAGGCAGGAAUU
rnacentral:tRNA from 1 species